ensembl:snoRNA LOC120093956 small nucleolar RNA SNORA24
CUCCAUGUAUCUUUGUCCCUGUGGCAGUCUCCCUUCAUAGCCAUGGAAUAGCAUGUUCUUGUUAUUGGCAAAGCUAUCGCCAUUUCAUUGGUACCAGAUUCUGACUAGAUCAAGUAACAUUC